UUACUUCUUCAGAUACAGCAUUGUCUGGUCUGCGGCUUCCCAGUCUUCACACACCAUGUUCCGUCUUCUGGAAAGGGUCAUCACUUUAUUAAGUAUCACUCCCUUAGGGAGCCUCCUCUGCACCCACACGUUGUAGGAGACUCCCUGACCUAUUCCUGGACAACCCCUUCCCCUUCCAGCGUUCCAGUAACUAUCCGUGCACAGCACUGUCAUGUUUACCAUUACAACCCUGUUAAGAAUAGGACCUGCUGUACGGCACGUGUUGAGCACUUACUGAAUGAAUAAAUGGACAUGUCUUAAACUCCUACUUACCUCCAACACUCCCUUUGCCUUCACCAGCCUCCUGACAACUUAGAACUUUAAGGACCUGGGAAUUCCCCAGCCUUUAACUGCCAUUGCCAAUACCAGUGCAGUGGUUUGGAUUGGUUUGGUUUGACUCAGAGGUGGUGGGUGUCUUGUCUGGCUCAGAACUUGAGUCCAUAACAAAGAUUCUCAUUACCGAACUUUGUUCUCAGUGAGGGCAAGUGGGUCAUCAUUGCCAGACAAUGGCCAACCAACCCUUCAAUUGAGAAGGGCUGAGUGAGCUCAGAGCCCAAAAGCUGAAGGCUCUGAUGAAAAGCACAGAGGCUGGAGGCACUGCCGAGCACAAACACAACUGUAGCACACCCUGUCGGUGGGUCUGUUCUGCUUCCUGGGCCCCGGAGUGUGUGCAGUGCUCACUGGACCCAUGCGGUGACUUUGUCGAGAAGCUGUGGGCCUCUUCAGACUGCACUCUGUGGGCAGGAAUCAGGCCUUAGUCAUCUCUGUGCUGAUGAAGUCUGGCACAGAGUGGGCUUCAGGUCAAUGUGCCAGGCUAUGAAUGCACCACGCUGGGCAGGCCCUUGUUCAACAGAUGUUGGUGGGAUCAAAGAACAGGCGGAAGGAGGGAGAAAAGAAAUGAGAAAGAAGCAAGGCCUUGCACACCUUCUCUGAGACCCUUGCCCAGCCUGGCCUACCUUAUGCAUGACGAUCUUUCGCUGGCCUGGCUCUGCCACGUCAAUCAUCUUCUGGACCACGUAGUUGGCA